rnacentral:rRNA from 1 species
UAACGCGUGAGGAACCUGCCUUCCAGAGGGGGACAACAGUUGGAAACGACUGCUAAUACCGCACGAUGCAUUUGAAUCGCAUGGUUUGAAUGUCAAAGAUUUAUCGCUGGAAGAUGGCCUCGCGUCUGAUUAGCUAGUUGGUGAGGUAACGGCCCACCAAGGCGACGAUCAGUAGCCGGACUGAGAGGUUGGCCGGCCACAUUGGGACUGAGAUACGGCCCAGACUCCUACGGAAGGCAGCAG